UACAGAGGGGGCAAGCGUUGUUCGGAAUUACUGGGCGUAAAGGGCGCGUAGGCGGCCGCCUAAGUCAGACGUGAAAUCCCUCGGCUCAACCGGGGAACUGCGUCUGAUACUGGGUGGCUUGAAUCCGGGAGAGGGAUGCGGAAUUCCAGGUGUAGCGGUGAAAUGCGUAGAUAUCUGGAGGAACACCGGUGGCGAAGGCGGCCUGCUGGGCAGUAUAGCUGGACACUGAGGCGCGACAGCGUGGGGAGCAAACAGG
rnacentral:rRNA from 1 species